UGGUCACGUGACUGAUGACAUCAUGCGCGCGCGGUGGAGAGGUGUGGGGAGGCAGCGGGAGAUGACCGGUGCUUUUAUUUUUUACUCAAAGUGACUUAAAUUGCGUCCAUUUGGCUUUCUGGAGGAGGUGUCGCUGCUGAUGAGGGCACGCCUCCUGAUACCCAGACUGACCCUCCAACACGUGAGGUUCCGCCGCGCUGAGGUAAAGAAGCUCCGUGUCCCGUCCAGUCACCGUCCUCGGUUGUCCCGUCCUCGCCUCGUCUUCUUUUCCCCCCGGUGGUAAGUUUGGGCUCUGCUGCUUCAGGAGAGAGAGAGAUGGAGACGGAGGGUGA